rnacentral:rRNA from 1 species
CGAAUGGGGAAACCCAGCAUGAGUUAUGUCAUGUUAUCGAUAUGUGAAUACAUAGCAUAUCAGAAGGCACACCCGGAGAACUGAAACAUCUUAGUACCCGGAGGAAGAGAAAGAAAAUUCGAUUCCCUUAGUAGCGGCGAGCGAAACGGGAAGAGCCCAAACCAACAAGCUUGCUUGUUGGGGUUGUAGGACACUCUAUACGGAGUUACAAAGGACGACAUUAGACGAAUCAUCUGGAAAGAUGAAUCAAAGAAGGUAAUAAUCCUGUAGUCGAAAAUGUUGUCUCUCUUGAGUGGAUCCUGAGUACGACGGAGCACGUGAAAUUCCGUCGGAAUCUGGGAGGACCAUCUCCUAAGGCUAAAUACUCUCUAGUGACCGAUAGUGAACCAGUACCGUGAGGGAAAGGUGAAAAGCACCCCGGAAGGGGAGUGAAAUAGAACCUGAAACCGUGUGCUUACAAGUAGUCAGAGCCCGUUAAUGGGUGAUGGCGUGCCUUUUGUAGAAUGAACCGGCGAGUUACGAUUUGAUGCAAGGUUAAGCAGUAAAUGUGGAGCCGUAGCGAAAGCGAGUCUGAAUAGGGCGUUUAGUAUUUGGUCGUAGACCCGAAACCAGGUGAUCUACCCUUGGUCAGGUUGAAGUUCAGGUAACACUGAAUGGAGGACCGAACCGACUUACGUUGAAAAGUGAGCGGAUGAACUGAGGGUAGCGGAGAAAUUCCAAUCGAACCUGGAGAUAGCUGGUUCUCUCCGAAAUAGCUUUAGGGCUAGCCUCAAGUGAUGAUUAUUGGAGGUAGAGCACUGUUUGGACGAGGGGCCCCUCUCGGGUUACCGAAUUCAGACAAACUCCGAAUGCCAAUUAAUUUAACUUGGGAGUCAGAACAUGGGUGAUAAGGUCCGUGUUCGAAAGGGAAACAGCCCAGACCACCAGCUAAGGUCCCAAAAUAUAUGUUAAGUGGAAAAGGAUGUGGCGUUGCCCAGACAACUAGGAUGUUGGCUUAGAAGCAGCCAUCAUUUAAAGAGUGCGUAAUAGCUCACUAGUCGAGUGACACUGCGCCGAAAAUGUACCGGGGCUAAACAUAUUACCGAAGCUGUGGAUUGUCCUUUGGACAAUGGUAGGAGAGCGUUCUAAGGGCGUUGAAGCAUGAUCGUAAGGACAUGUGGAGCGCUUAGAAGUGAGAAUGCCGGUGUGAGUAGCGAAAGACGGGUGAGAAUCCCGUCCACCGAUUGACUAAGGUUUCCAGAGGAAGGCUCGUCCGCUCUGGGUUAGUCGGGUCCUAAGCUGAGGCCGACAGGCGUAGGCGAUGGAUAACAGGUUGAUAUUCCUGUACCACCUAUAAUCGUUUUA